UUAAUUAAAAUAAACUUUAUUCUUUUUUAAGCCACCAGUGAGGACUACAAACUCUUGGAAAACAUGAAUAAGCUGACUAGCUUGAAGUACCUAGAAAUGAAAGAUAUUGCUAUAAACAUCAGUAGAAAUCUUAAGGAUUUGAAUCAAAAAUAUGCUGAUCUGCAGCCAUAUCUGGAACAAAUAAACCUAAUUGAGGAGCAGGUUGCAGCUCUGGAGCAGGCAGCGUAUAAAUUGGAUGCAUAUUCCAAAAAACUUGAAACCAAGUACAAAAAACUGGAGAAAUGAUGAAGUUAAACAGUCUUUAUGUUGGAGUUGGGCAAUGAAUCAAACUGUUUUCAGGUUUUGCACAACAGCAGUUCUGUAUGUUGCCAAGGAUUUGGUUGCAGCUAGCAUCAAGACUGGGAAUUUCUUCUAGCAAUUGAAUACAGAAGGCUGUAUUCAGGCUUAAGGCUGAAUAAUAUUUUCCUCUUCUCAGAGGUUCUGUUGCUCAGCUGUUUUGCAGUGACAAGUAGAAGCCUGUCCCUAACCCAUGCUGAUAUUGGCUAUGUGUGUGUUAGUCCUGUUUUUCACAUGAAAUAUUCUGUCUAAGAAAAUUCCUCUGUAACCUAUAAAAGACAUUUUCCCUCAAUAGCAGUAGGACCAAAACUUCACUUUUUCCUUCAUCGUGCUCUGUGUUGAGAAGAUACUUGGGCCUUUGGACUUAUGAGAGGGGUAUUGAAAACCCUUAAUUUUGGUAUCCCCCGUUCUCUCUUUGACAUAGGGAGACUAAUUACUAUAAAUUUACAAUAAAACAACUUGCUGCAUUUGUUUCUCUGGAAUCCUAA